AUUUACGUUAGAAUCCCAAGUUAGGCACUUCAUAGAGCUAUAUCCCAUUUUUUGGCCCACACUACAGGGGUCUUUUCAAAGCUUCUAGCCCCAAUAGCCCAUUAAAUGGGUUGGUAUUGAAUCAGGGUCCGGUUAAGCCCCUGACCCCGAAAACUUAUGUUCAAACCAAUCUUCUCCAACGUGGAGCUCAUCAAUAGCUGGAGCUUGACAGCAACACACGCGCUAGAGCUCGACAGUCGACACCAGCACACGGCGGUUGAAUGCUGAAUUUUUAGAAAUGUGAUGGAACAACGAACGAGGUUGGAAGACCUGGAGAAGUUGGUAGACAUUUUGGUACAACUGAGACACUGAAAUAGAGGGUUAGGUACCUGUGAAAGCAAAAUACAUAUAUAUUAUAGAAUUGAAAGUAAAUUAGGUUUACCUGCACCGUGAGUCCAAGCAUGUGCCUGAGCCAAAGUUCAUUGUCCUCGAGAGAAAAAGCAGUAAUGGUGUCAGGNCCACCCAAGUGCAGCAGCAGAAAGGGUGUCCAGAACGCUCGCAAGUAGUCAUCGAUGGUGGAAACUGCCGUGUCUUUAUCACCAUAUUUGUUGGAGAUGAGGCCAACACAGAAAUCCGCUGUGACAUCUGCCACAAGUUCAGGUUUGGAGUGGUUGUGAUGUAGAUCUUCAUCAUCGAUAAGGAAACAAAAGAUGAAGGUUUCAGCUCUUGUCAUAUACUCUUCCUUUUCAUUCUCUAUCUUUACGUAGUUGGCGUAUGAAAAAACUACAUGUGCUGUUCUCUGCUUUGUUUCUUUUGCUUUAGUCUGUAUAGUCUUUUUGUUGGGGAAAAUGCUUCUCUUUUGCUUUGGCUGGAGACAAGUUACAUAUCCUGAAAGAGAAAGCACAAUAGAGGAACAUAACUUUGCGUCUCAAUUAGAAACCAUGUUAUCUUUCAUCACACGCCCUUCAAUUACAUUUAUUUUUAUUUUCGGAAACUGUAAUUGUUUGCUAUGAAAUGGAACAUUAGCUAUCAUAUGAUCUUGUGAAUUAUAGUAAAUUUCGACAAAAUUUUAAUUUUUUA